rnacentral:rRNA from 1 species
AACGAACGCUGGCGGCGCGCCUAAUACAUGCAAGUCGAGCGAGAAGGUGUAGCAAUACACUUGUAAAGCGGCGAACGGGUGAGGAAUGCAUGGGUAACCUACCCUCGAGUGGGGAAUAACUAGCCGAAAGGUUAGCUAAUACCGCAUACGUUUCCGGAACUUCGGUUUCGGAAAGAAAGCAAUACCGUGGGUAUUGCGCUCCUGGAUGGGUUCAUGUCCUAUCAGCUUGUUGGUGAGGUAACGGCUCACCAAGGCUUCGACGGGUAGCUGGUCUGAGAGGACGAUCAGCCACACUGGCACUGCGACACGGGCCAGACUCCUACGGGAGGCAGCAGUAAGGAAUAUUGCGCAAUGGACGAAAGUCUGACGCAGCGACGCCGCGUGGGGAGUGAA